UCCCUGCUGGCGCAAUGGUAGCGUGUAAGACUCCUAAUCUUAAGGCUAUAGGUUCGAGUCCUAUGUAGGGAG
rnacentral:tRNA from 1 species